rnacentral:lncRNA from 1 species
GGUGAAUUGCUGCUAUAGACGACAGAACCGGUGCCGGAGCAUAACGGUGUCACCAUGCUGGAACCCUAAAAUUAGCCAAAAAAAAAUUUCAAUACCGAUUUUAGAUUUUUGGGGUAUUUUUGGGUACGUAACAAUUAUUUUAAUUCCCACAGAAAAAAUUCAUGAAAGCCAGGGCCUGCCAGGAGGCAUAGUGAGUAGCACAACAUUUUGAAAAUAU